CUAUAUACCGCCGUCGUCAGUUUACCCUGUAAAGGACUAAUAGUAAACAAAAUGGGCUCACCCAAAAACGUCAGGUCGAGGUGUAGCGAAUGAAGUGGGAAGAAAUGGGCUACAUU
rnacentral:rRNA from 1 species